rnacentral:sRNA from 1 species
GGACUGAAUAUCUCCGUUGCAGAGGCCGGUAUGCAGUUUUGGGUCACCGACGAAUAUGACCAGACAUAAUCGUACUUCGUGAUUGUGUCUCAAAAAGAACGGCUGAGGAUGACUGUAUUUCAGUUAUUGUACUUAUAUUGUAUUGUUAUUGUAUAAUAUACCAUCUUCUAAAAGUAUGUUCAUAAAAUGUAUUCUUAUCAUAAUGGUAAAACUUAUCUGUUCUUCUCGCAUUGUAAAUUGGCAAGGUAAACAAAUGGUCGAAAAUAAGACAAACAAAAUGGAUCUUAAAAAUGUUUUAUUAAUGAAAAGUGAUAUGAGUGGACUAUGCAUAUAUCUUAGGUAUGACCCAAAUGUUUAACUGAUCUGAUAUCUUGUCUAUUGUUUUAUUUCCAUGGGUUUCACGUUUAGUCUUUUUGCCAUUUCAUUCUGGAAAGAAAAAUAUUUGGAAAAAAUGAUGAAAGUUUGUAAGUACUUAUAUUACAUGCAGAAACCAUUAGAUGAUAACAUUUGCGUGUCUUAAAUUUUACCUACCGCAAAAGAGAUUUGGUUUUGGUGAUAGGGAAUCCCCCCUAAACGUUUACAGAGAUCUACAUGGUUCCGCUCAGGGUCUCCGGCUACCAUAACGGGAACUCCAGGUUCUACCUACAUACAUUGAUAUAAAAUUUUUAAAAACGUUUCUUAUUCCACAUUUCAAAUAUUUUUGACAAGAUUGAAUCUUCUUGACAUUGACUGACUGAACAUUUAGCAGUUAACAUGGCCUUAAGGUGAAUUCAACGGCUAAGUAGUGUUUAUGUACCGGCUCUAGUUGCCUGCAGUAGUCCAUUAAGUCACUCAUUCGCUCAGAAAAACCAUCAGCAAAGGCUUCGGGAUUUAUUGCAAUGAAACACUGACCCUUAACAAAAAGAAAGAAAACUUAAUUAUCACAAUAGAGAAAAAAACUCAAGUUUUAAUUAUAAUAUUGAUUAUGCGCAUCAAUUAAAAGUUUUAUGCAACAGAAUCACAGCAAUAGAGUUCACUUACAAGAUUUGCAACUUUCUCGAAGUCUUUCCAGGUACGAAUAUUAGGACCGAAGUUUGCUCCACUAAGAAUACCACAAAGUACCUCUACCAUCAUCGCCAAACCGUACCCCUUGUAUCCACCUGAAAUAAAAGAUCUUGUCAGAGUUCAUCUAAACUUCAACUAACCACAAAACAAAGAAAUGAAUUAAGGUUUGGUUAUAAUAAACCUUACUGCUCUCCUCUGAUCCUCCGAGUGGUAAAAGACCAGCGUAGGCAGAUGGGUCGUUUGUUUCCUACAAACAUUAAUAUAGAUAAAUGGUUUUCAAUCA